CUCACUUUAUCACUCUUUAUGAGCGCUUCAUCUGCCCUCGUCUGAUUAUUUUACUCAUUUGACCAGUAAACCCUUUUGCUCUCUACAUGUACUUCUCCCUCUUCACUCUCCUGUGUUUCUCUCACCCUCUUCUGCUCAAUCGCUUCUCCAUUUUCUCUUUCGACGGUUUGUUUCUGGUUUGUACGGUGGGCAACGCUGGUUGCCCUCAGAGUUUGUAGCCGAGGAUGCUCUCUGGUAAGAGAACAAGAGAUUUCCUUCCCCGCGAGUUUCCCUAUGGUGAUGGACCCUAUCGGGUCGAUCUUGACUCUAUCCUGAGCUCUCCUGUCGAGCCUGAGAGUGAUGAAGAGGACUAUCUAUCAGGUUUAGCUCAGAGGAUGGCUGGUUCUGUUCUCGAUGAUGAUGAAAAGGUGCAUAUGGAGCAGUUUUCAUGGGUUGGAGAUGGAGGGUUUGGAAAUCAGAAGGUUCUAUUUUAGAGAGAGAACUUGUGCUCGACCAUGCUUACUCUUUUGGGUCUGGUUUUUCUUUCAAAUGGGUUCUCUGAAUCUUUCAGUUUAAGAAAUUAUUAGUUUGAUUUUGUAAGUUUUUGGUCAUGAGUUAUUCUCGUGGGUUCAAUGAAAGAUUUUUUUGGGUUGAUUUCUGGUUUUACACAGCUAUUUUCAUGGGAGUUGCAGGUAUAAAUGAUCGUUCCAAGGUGAGUCUCUCUUUGAAUCUUGAUCAUGUACGCAUCAUGGUAGAUUGUAUGCACAAUGUUUUCUUCCAUAGCAAUAUUUUCCAGGAAUCAUUAUGUGACCUCUUUUCUCAAUUGCAAUUGAAAUCUCUCUCUCUCUCUCUCUCUAUGUCUCUCGUUCUUUCCCUCUGAUUAGUGGUAAACUUAUGCAUCAGGACGUAGGGUUAACGAAAACUAUCUCAUAAAUUAAUCAUCUUUAAGAAUUUGUACCAUAAUUUCUCAAUUGUGAAUACAAUCUUGAAAUCCAGUAAUCAUGUUUACUGUAAAAGAAAGAGGGUCCUGAGAGUUUGGGCAAUAACAGAGGGCUGGGCUUACCCUGGGACAAGCUGGAGAGACCCAUAUCAUUUAGACGGACUUUUCAUUUCUCAGGUGGAGCUUUGAGAAGAGAGAAUGAAAGGUUUUCUAGAGAGAGAAAAUUUUUAGAGAUAGAGAAAGAAGAGUGUGUCUUUUAUGUUCUACAGUGGUUCUUCAUUUGCAACUGAAAAAAAUGCAGAGUCCUUUUAACAGGAACAAUCUUUUAGUUACUUAAGGGCUUGUUUAGUUCAUACAUAGAAAAGCACGCAGUGAUUUUUUCUAUGUGAAAGCUACACUUUCAUGUUUGGUUGGGGUGAAGUGCUGGGUAAAAUUGUCGUGUGGUAAAUUAUUUGGCCUUUUUUUCUUAUGCCAUUCUCCUCUCUCUCUCACAUUCAUUCUCGCUUCCAUACUCUCUCUUAAGCCAUUCCAAACACUACCAUUCCAUCCUUCCCACCGCCCAAUUCCAAACCUUACCCACUCUCCCUCUCUCCACCUUCAAACAAAAACUGAUUUUUUUCUUUUUUUGUGUUUAUAUUCACUUCGGGUAUAGGCUUACGUAAAUUUGUUCAAUGGAUGAGAUUAUCCAUGAAAAAUUAAUAUCUGGAUCUAGGCUUUCUUAUGCAGCAAAAACAUCAAGUGAAUUUAACAAAGUCGUGGCUGUAAUUUGUGUGAUCUCUACACUGCUACUGCUAUUUUUCUGCAGCAGAAAAAUCAGUAGUAUGCUUUCGAUUUCAUAAUAUUUUCAUAAUCUUUGUAACACCAAACUCUAUCUAUUCAUUUGUCUAUGAAUAGAGAAUCAUUUAGAUUGAAUAAGAGAUCAUUGGAGUUUUGGCAUUAUUGGGUCAUUUUCUGUUGUUUUUGCAGCCAAGCAAAGCAAUAGUGAAAUAUUCACUUUUAUAAAUCUAGUUUAAAUCAAGUUGGGUCAAGUUUUAUGUUGGGAUUGUCUCAUCUCUAUGCAGCAAUGCAUUGGAUGAUUUGGUGUUGUUGUUUGUUCCUAAAUUUAUUUCUUUUCAUGAUUAUUCAUCAGAAAUGUAUACAAUGAGAUCAUUUAGUUUUGAUGUAGGGAGGUCACAAUCAUUGCUGACCAUUAGAUUUGAAUUUCUCUUGUCACACUUUAGUCUAUUGGAUUUUACAUCCGAUAGCUAAAAGCGAUUGUGACCUUCCUAUGGCAAAAAUAAAUGGUCUCACUGGCCGAAAGGACGUGGAUGCGGCGACUCUGAGCGAGUCAAAUCGACGACGCACGACGGACAAGGCGAGGAGGAGAACAUAGAAUAAGAAAGAGGACCCAGGAUGCCCAGUGCUCUCUGAACGAAAGGAUUGCUCCAAGCAAGAAAGUUGUCUUCUCUAAAAUAAGAGACAUAGUGGUUUGGUUGUCUUGUCAGUCUUCUCUAAAUAAGAUAGAGAAAUAGAUGUUUGGUUGUCUUCUAUCUAUGGUCUUCUACUUACUCGAUCGGUGUACUCCCUCGAGGAUUCUAUGAUGGUCGGUGUACUUCCUCCCUAUAGGAGUCAUUAGGGAUGCUCCUUAAUGAAAGCAAAGGAGAGAUGUUACUCACUAGGUAACAAAAGCAAGGGAAUUGGUCUUUCGGUGGGUGUCCUCCCUCGAGGAUCAGGGGUAGUAGCUCGGAUUCGUCUUCGCCUUACUCAUUCGGUUCCCUCACUCACGGCUCAGGGCUCAGAAAGCAGAAGCAGCUGCCUUCGAGUCUUCCUCAUUUGGCGCGAGGAACUUGAAGGAGGCUUCCAAGGAAGUAUAGUGAGUGAUUAGGGACUCCGUGAAGCAAUAAGCUAUAACAAGAAAACAAAAAGAAAAGGAACAAGGAACCUUUCUACUAGAAAGCAACUGGUUGUCGUUGAAUGUAUUGGGCGAAGAUAGGAAUUCCCCUUGCUUUGUUUUCGCUCUGCUCGUGCGUGGCACUCCUUGCUUGUGGAGCGGCAUACCGGAAAAAGAAGGAUUGCCUUUAUAUAUUGCCGUCACCGGACUAUGAAAAAGGAGUCGAAGCCUUUCACUUUUUUCAGGGGGGUGCCUAAUGAAAAUUAUAGAAUGGUCUAGUAUAGGCCUUUCGUGACUCAAACUGCUGCUACACUCUCCUACUACAACAGGCUUAGCCACUUAGUGGCGGUAAGCAAGCUAUCUUGCAUUGCAUUCUAAAGCUCGAAGCUUAGCCAAUUAUUGCCUCUCUUAUGCGCAUAGAUAUGGUCUGGCGUUUUUGUUUGCCUGAACUUUUCUGCUCUUCUAUUUUUGUAUGUUAUUUUCUUGUGAAUUUGGAGUUGAGGUUCAUACUCCGUAUGAGCUAAAUUUUAUACAUUACAAAACUAGAGUUUUACAAUCUACUAUGUGUUCGUUGAUACAAAUAGUAGGCAAUUGAUGACCUAAUGUGGGCUGAAUUUGAAACCAUUGAUCAUACUCCUCUUUACUCAAGUUUAUAACUUAAUUUUCCUAAUACUGUAUAUCUUCUUUGUUCAGUUAAGUAAACUAUCUAUUCCAACAUUCACAUGUAUCUCCUUGUGUUAGAAUCUUUGCCUUCUGUUGUGGUCUAAUAUAUUGAGUUUCUACACAUAUUGUUUGAUUUUGUCUAAUUCAAUGAUUCAAUAUUGCAUCACAUGACUUUUUGGAAUGUUUUAAACUUGGGAGACCAACGAAGGGGGGUUUUCAGAAAGGGUGGAUGAAUUUCUAUCAUAAACAGGCCUUGUUGGUCAUUGCAUUUAUUUGAAUGAUGGAUUGAUUUGUUAUGCAUCAAUGUCUUUUUUUAUAUGUAUGAUAAUUUGUUGCAUUUAUUUGAAUGAUGGUUUGAUUUUUAUGCGUCAAUGCUUUUCUGUAGUCUAUAUACUCUAUUUGUUUUUUGCAAUUGUUCCCUUUAGUCCAUAUACACUAUUAACAAUGUAUAUGUACCUCCAUAUACACUAUUAACAUUGUAUAUUGUGCAUUUACACUGUUAAUAGUUUAUAUGGACUAUUAACAGUCCAUGAACCUCACUUUCAAGUAUGUAUAGUCCAUAUAUGCUGUUAAUAGUGUAUCACUGUAUAUAGACUGUUAAUACUCGUAAACCUCACUCUCAAGUGUAUACACUCAACAUAUAUUGUUAACACUGUGUAUGGAUUGUAUACAUUGCUAACAUUGUUUUAAAUGCGGACCGCCCAACGCCUGGGUGGCUGCCUAGGCGCUCCAGAAGGCCUGGGGGCAUCGCCUAGGCCUAGGCGGCCAAACUAGGCGGAUAUCCUUGGGAACCCGCCUAGGCGCCCGCCUGAACCUGCCUGGGCGCCUGCCCGGGCCGCCGCCGAGGGCCUGUGCCCUGCCCUGGGGCGGAAAUGCGGCUCCUUGAGGGUAUUUUUGGGUCAUUUUUUUAAUACUAAAAGGCAAAAUUAUGGGUUUUAGGUUCAUUUGAAACCUAAAACCCGAGGCUAUUUUAGAGAGAGAAAACCCCAAAACAAAAUUUUUUUCUAUUGGGCUGCCCAGGGUUUGGGUGCCCGCCUAAGCGCUGGGCAGCCUGGACCCCCCCCCCCCCGACCACCUAGGUGCUGCCCAGCGCUUUUGAAACACUUACGGCUAACAAUGUAUAUGGACUAGUUAACAAUGUAUAUACACAUUGUUUAACAAUUAGAAUGAAUUGUACUGUUUGGGCUGUCCAUUCCAUACUCACAGUUAACAAUGUGUAUAAACUGUUAACAAUCAAACUGUCUAUAUGGAUUGUCAACAGUCCAUACACACUGUUAACACUGUAUAUGGGCGUAUAUGUACCAUAAACACACUGUUAACAAUGUGUGUGGACUGUUAACAGUGUUUGUGGACUGUUAACAGUGUAUAUGGACCGUCAGCAGUCCAUAUUCACUGUUAACUGUGUUAUGAACUGUUAACAGUGCUUAUCCAAUGUUAACUGUUUUUAUACACUAUUACCUGUGUUGAUGGACUUUUAAUGUUCCAUACACACUGUUAACAAUUUGUAUGGACCCUUAACAAUCCAUAUAUAGUGCAUGGACUGUUAACAAUGUAACAGUGUAUAUGGAUGUAUAUGUACGGUUAACACACUGUUAACAAUCUGCGUGGACUGUUAACAAUGUAUAUGGACUAUUAAUGGUCCAUAUAUACUGUGAACUUUAGUUAUGGAGUAUGAACUGUUAACAGUGUUUAUCCUUUGUUAACUGUUUUUAUGGACUGUUUAACUUUUUGAUUUUUUUACACUGUUCACUGUGUAAUGUUGUUGAGCGCACAUUUGGUUUAUAGAAGGUGCUGUUCCUAAUAUUAAAGAAGCAAAUUCGCUAUCCAUUUCAAACUCAAGCUAGCAUUGUCAUUGCAACAUGUAUAGUACAUAACUAUAUCAGGAUGACAAGAGGUGGUCAUUGAUGAGGAGUCAAGGUUUGAAAACAUUGCAUUAGAAUAUGCUGAUCAAAUGCUGCAAGCGACCAUAUGUUAUCAGGACAGGGAUGACAUCAAUUCAAAGUCACACGAUGAAAUUGCUAAUGCAAUGUGGGAACCAUAACGAAAUAGUGUUCAGGAUGUAGUAGUUGUGCCGGUUUCACGUUCUUUUUUUUUUUUUAUUGCACUUUUUCAACUUGUACAUCUUUCAUGGAUUUUAAGGGUGGAUAUGGACAUGGCAUGUUUAAGAUGUAGUUAUGCUUUCGGAAUUGAAGACUUUUAAUAGAUUUUGUACUUCAAAUAUUUCUUUAUUAAUCUUUAAGAGAGAGAGAGAUCUCAAAAUAUUCUUUGAUUAUUUAACCAAGGCAUGGUGCUUGUAUAAUUUAAUAAAGUAAAUCAAACUUAUGAUCUAAACUAUCGUUUUUUUUAAACAUAACAUAAAUCGAUUGUUUUCAAGAAAUCGUCUUAAUUGGAUGGACGUUGAUAUCCAAUUAUCAGCAUUGAAUUAAAAAAACAGGUAUUAAUCCAGAUUCCAGGAGACAAUUUAUUAAAUAGGUUACUGAACAUAAGAAACUGGUUAAUUAGGAAUUCCAAACAUGUGAACCGAACAUGGAAAAAGACAUGAAUGAAUAAUUCUUUCAUAGCAAAUUGUUUUAAUAGGAAAAUUGGUUUACAUAUGCAGACUUUUUCGUAUGAACCAAACCGGCCCUUAGGGUGUAAAAUUGGCUUGUGUUUCUUUGAAUUGUCAAUGUUGCUUUUUGUUUUGGUUUUAUUUGCUUAGGUAUGGUGUGUUGGUGACGGGUUUGAAGGAAAGGUUAUGUUUAUUGCUUAAUUCAUGUCUUACCUUAUUAUUGAACCUCAAAUUUAUGCUCUGAUUUUGUUUUUAUUGUACAUAUUAUUUCUUAAUUUGUUUAUUUACUUGCAGUUGGAGCACAUUGCAUAUGGUAGUAAAAUAGUUACAAAGGUGUGUUGUAAUUGUUCAUUUUGCCAAAUGUUGUAAUGAUAGACCAAUGAUAUGUAGACCUUUUUAUCUCAACAACAGUGGAGACCAGCUUGAACACCAUCAAGUUUUAUGGAUGGACGGUGUUGGAGGGAUAGCGAGGCUGACCAAGACGUAAAGGACCUGAAGUGGUGGUCUACCUCUCUCGCCAACAAUAUCCAUCCAUUGAGUCAAUGGUGGUAGGCUGGUUUCAACCCUUGUUUCGGGUCUACAAUCUGGCAUAGGAGGUAUCGGAAAAAAUAAAAACAGCUUGGAGACAACUCUACGGAGCGGAGCUUUUAGUAUUUGACCACUGGGAUUGCAUUAUGUUGGGCAUCAACAAUAAGAAAUAUUACAUAAACAUUAUAGAAAUGAGGCCAAACUUCAACUAUUUGUAUUGUUGACACAGACUGUGAAUUGGAAUCCAAUUAUGAUCCAUGUGAAGUGGAUUUUGUAUUACUUGAUCCAAUUAUGAUCUUUAUUAUGCAUUUUAUCCAAAUGUUCUUUUACUGGAAUAUUUUUUAGAGUCCCAACUGUUGUAAACGAUUUAUGCAUCCUAUCUAAACGAUUCAUAGUAAGAAUUUAAGGAAAACUUGUAUCAUUUAUUGAUUAUCAAUAGAAAGUAAAUCAUUUCUUCGCUCU